UAGCCUGCUCAGAGACAUAAAAGUGUUAAAUAGCCGCGGUAUCCUGACCGUGCAAAGGUAGCAUAAUCAUUAGUUUUUUAAUUGGAAACUAGAAUGAAUGGUUGGACAAGAAAAAAACUGUCUCUUUUAUUAAAAUUGAAAUUAACUUUUAAGUGAAAAGGCUUAAAAUUUACUAAGGGGACGAUAAGACCCUAUAAAGCUUUAUAAAUUCAGAGAUUUUAGAUAUUUUAUAUAUAAAUUUAUUUUUUGAUAAUUUAUUUGGUUGGGGCGACAAGGGUAUAAUUAUAAAUAACUGCCAUUAAUGUUUAUACAUAUAUUUUUGAUUUAAAUUUAAUAUAGUAGUUGAUCCUUUUUAAGGAUUUAAAGAUCAAGUUACUUUAGGGAUAACAGCGUAAUUUCUUCUGAGAGUUCUUAUCAAAGAAGAAGUUUGCGACCUCGAUGUUGAAUUAAAAUGUCUUUAUAGUGCAGCAGCUAUAAAAGAAGGUCUGUUCGACCUUUAAUUUUUUACGUGAU
rnacentral:rRNA from 1 species